GUGGCGUGACCGGGGAGCCCGCGGACGCGGGCUGAGAGGCCGGCCAGCAUGCCGCCGGCGACCCGCAUAACCCGAUCGCGGUCAUGCGCGCGUGGGGAGGAACCAUCUGAUGACA
rnacentral:ncRNA from 2 species